GAUGCCUCGGUAGCUCUGUGGUAGAGUUCCUGUAUGUGGUGAGCGAAAGCGCCUAGCAAUAACUACGAGGAGGUCGCAGGUUCGAAUCCUGCCCGGUGGCUA
rnacentral:tRNA from 1 species